GGUGGUUCUACCAACCAGGAUGGGGACACAGGCCGUGGGAUCUACACCAGCAAAUCAGUGAAGCCAUCAUCGAUUCUGGGGCACAUUCUUCGUAUAUUGAUUCUGUUUUUGUCACUGUAAAUAAAAUACCCACUGUGUUGAAAGCAA